AUAUCAUCGAUUGGAUGGAUGCUGUCUGAAAAUUGAUGGAUUUGGUCUGAAAAUUUUUGUCCUUUCGUAGGAAGUUUAAUGUAUUUAUACUCAUAAUUAGAACAGUGCUCGCCGGUGAAAAUAACAGUACAGGCACGAAAUGAUGGCAACCAGCAGGGACAAAAGGAAUAGGAUGGGAGCCAGACCACAGGUAUCCAGGAAUGUUCCCAAUGUAGGGACCUUAAAAAGGAGUUUUCAUUACUUCAGCAGAUAAGAUGGAUGCCGAGUCCGCGCCUGGCGGGGUACUGCACAAUGUCAAGGAUGAGUGGGAUGAUUUUCGUGAUAGAAACUGAGAGGAUCAGAACUCCAAAGCACCAGGAGCUGGUGCUGAAGAUGAGUCAGACUGAGCCUUCUCCACAGAAGUGAGAGACAAGGACAUCUCAACAAAUGGCAAUCCUGUAAUGGACUGUAAUGGAAGUGUGAGGCUCACGAAGGAAAGACCUCAUUCUUCAGAGGAAAUCAGAAAGGAGGACCCAUUAAAGGCUCCAUGAUUUGAGCUAAGAUCAAGGGUUGGAUGCUUAACAGACUGAGCCAUCCAGGUGCCCCACUGAAACCUCCAUCUUAAAAUCUACACUAUGAGCAGUUGUAAACAGAGAUGGAAAAUUGGUGACAUAAAAGAACAGACUUCUAAGAGUGGACAGUAGGACA